rnacentral:rRNA from 1 species
UACGGGGGGGGCAAGCGUUGUUCGGAAUUACUGGGCGUAAAGGGCUCGUAGGCGGCCAACUAGGUCAGACGUGAAAUCCCUCGGCUUAACCGGGGAACUGCAUCUGAUACUGGAUGGCUUGAGUGCGGGAGAGGGAUGCGGAAUUCCAGGUGUAGCGGUGAAAUGCGUAGAUAUCUGGAGGAACACCGGUGGCGAAGGCGGCAUCCUGGACCGACACUGACGCUGAGGAGCGAAAGCCAGGGGAGCAAACGGG